CCCUUAGAUGUUCUGGGCCGCACGCGCGCUACACUGACGGAGGCAGCGAGCAUGUCCUUCGCCGAGAGGUGUGGGGAAUCUUGUGAGUCUCCAUCGUGCUGGGGAUAGAUGGUUGCAAUUGUCGAUCUUGAACGAGGAAUUCCUAGUAAGCGCGAGUCAUCAGCUCGCGCUGAUUACGUCCCUGCCCUUUGUACACACCGCCCGUCGCUACUACCGAUUGGAUGGCUUAGCGAGAAUUUUGGAUCGGAGCCCGGGUGGUCGGCAACGGUCGCCCGGGAGAUCUGAGAAAUCAUUCCAGCUUGGUCAUCUAGAGGAAGUAAAAGUCGUAACA
rnacentral:rRNA from 1 species